UACGUAGGGUGCAAGCGUUGUCCGGAAUUAUUGGGCGUAAAGAGCUCGUAGGCGGCUCGUCGCGUCGGCUGUGAAAACCUGGGGCUCAACCCCGGGCCUGCAGCCGAUACGGGCGGACUAGAAUUCGGUAGGGGAGACUGGAAUUCCUGGUGUAGCGGUGAAAUGCGCAGAUAUCAGGAGGAACACCGGUGGCGAAGGCGGUUCUCUGGGACGGUACUGACGCUGAGACGCGAAAGCGUGGGGAGCGAACAGG
rnacentral:rRNA from 1 species